GACGAACGCUGGCGGCGUGCUUAACACAUGCAAGUCGAACGAUGAAGCCUAGCUUGCUAGGUGGAUUAGUGGCGAACGGGUGAGUAAUACGUGAGUAACCUACCUUUAACUCUGGGAUAAGCCUGGGAAACUGGGUCUAAUACCGGAUACGACCAAUCUCCGCAUGGGGUGUUGGUGGAAAGCGUUAUGUAGUGGUUAUAGAUGGGCUCACGGCCUAUCAGCUUGUUGGUGAGGUAACGGCUCACCAAGGCGACGACGGGUAGCCGGCCUGAGAGGGUGACCGGCCACACUGGGACUGAGACACGGCCCAGACUCCUACGGGAGGCAGCAGUGGGGAAUAUUGCACAAUGGGCGCAAGCCUGAUGCAGCGACGCCGCGUGAGGGAUGACGGCCUUCGGGUUGUAAACCUCUGUUAGCAGGGAAGAAGAGAAAUUGACGGUACCUGCAGAGAAAGCGCCGGCUAACUACGUGCCAGCAGCCGCGGUAAUACGUAGGGCGCGAGCGUUGUCCGGAAUUAUUGGGCGUAAAGAGCUUGUAGGCGGUUUGUCGCGUCUGCUGUGAAAGGCCGGGGCUUAACCCCGUGUAUUGCAGUGGGUACGGGCAGACUAGAGUGCAGUAGGGGAGACUGGAAUUCCUGGUGUAGCGGUGGAAUGCGCAGAUAUCAGGAGGAACACCGAUGGCGAAGGCAGGUCUCUGGGCUGUAACUGACGCUGAGAAGCGAAAGCAUGGGGAGCGAACAGGAUUAGAUACCCUGGUAGUCCACGCCGUAAACGUUGGGCACUAGGUGUGGGGGGCCUUUUCCGGGUUUUCCGCGCCGUAGCUAACGCAUUAAGUGCCCCGCCUGGGGAGUACGGCCGCAAGGCUAAAACUCAAAGGAAUUGACGGGGGCCCGCACAAGCGGCGGAGCAUGCGGAUUAAUUCGAUGCAACGCGAAGAACCUUACCAAGGCUUGACAUGUGCCGGUCGGCUCCGGAGACGGGGUUUCCUCCUUGUGGGGCCGGUUCACAGGUGGUGCAUGGUUGUCGUCAGCUCGUGUCGUGAGAUGUUGGGUUAAGUCCCGCAACGAGCGCAACCCUUGUCCCGUGUUGCCAGCACGUUGUGGUGGGGACUCGCGGGAGACUGCCGGGGUCAACUCGGAGGAAAGUGGGGAUGACGUCNAAUCAUCAUGCCCCUUAUGUCUUGGGCUUCACGCAUGCUACAAUGGCCGGUACAGAGGGCUGCGAUACCGUGAAGUGGAGCGAAUCCCCUUAAGCCGGUCUCAGUUCGGAUCGGUGUCUGCAACUCGACACCGUGAAGUUGGAGUCGCUAGUAAUCGCAGAUCAACAACGCUGCCGUGAAAACGUUCUCGGGCCU
rnacentral:rRNA from 1 species